rnacentral:rRNA from 1 species
UACGUAGGGACCGAGCGUUGUCCGGAAUCAUUGGGCGUAAAGAGCGUGUAGGCGGCUAUUUAAGUCCUGCGUGAAAUCCUGCGGCUCAACCGCAGACGGUCGUGGGAAACUGGAUGGCUAGAGUGCGGGAGAGGAGAGUGGAAUUCCCGGUGUAGCGGUGAAAUGCGCAGAUAUCGGGAGGAACACCAAUAGCGAAGGCAGCUCGCUGGGACGUUACUGACACUGAGGCGCGAAAGCGUGGGGAGCGAACAGG